rnacentral:rRNA from 1 species
GAUUAACGCUGGCGGCGUGCAUAACACAUGCAAGUCGAACGAUGAAACUUUAAUGAGCCCUUCGGGGAGAAUUAAAGCGGCUUAGUGGCGAACGGGUGAGUAACUCGUUAGUAACCUGCCUUACACAAGGGGAUAGCCUUUGGAGACGAAGAAUAAUACCCUAUAAAACCAUAAAAGCACAUGCAAUUAUGGUAAAAGUGAUAGCGGUGUAAGAUGGACUUGCGUCUGGUUAGCUAGUUGGUGAGAUAAAAGCCCACCAAGGCAACGAUCAGUAGCCGGCUUGAGAGAGUGUACGGCAAAAUUGGGACUGAGCCACGGCCCAGACUCCUACGGGAGGCAGCAGUGGGGAAUUUUGCACAAUGGGGGAAGCCCUGAUGCAGCGAGGCCGCGUGAUUUAGAAGGCCUUAGGGUUGUAAAAAUCUUUUGUAUAGGAAGAAAAUGACAGUACUAUACGAAUAAGGUCCGGCUAAUUACGUG